AUUGUACUCCCUCCGUCCCAAAAUUCUUGUCUUGAAUUUGUCUAAAUACGGAUGUAUCAAGUCACAUUUUAGUAUUAGAUACAUCUGUAUCUAGACAAAUCUUAGACAAGAAUUUUGGGACGGAGGGAGUAUACA
rnacentral:pre_miRNA from 1 species